AUGUAAUUAUUUCUAGAUAAGGUAAAAUGUGUAGAUUAAAAAGAAACGAAAGUAAUAACAAUGCUGACGUAACUAUAUAUGUAUGUGGUGCCUACCCCUCAAAAAAAAAAUGUAUGUGGUGCCUAAUAGGACAAAAUAAACGAUAGUUUCGAAGGUUCUAAUCGUUGUAAUGAGGAAACCAGGGGAUCAGAGGGGGUGCCCUUUUUGUUUUUGGCCAACUAGGGGGUGUAUACUUGCUAACUUCGACCCUUUUCCUUCGCAUGCUUAACAUGUACACUAACACUGCACACAUAGAUUUCCCACGCACGACCCAAUUUUUUCUCCCCUCCCCCUCUCUCUCUGUCUCUUGUAUUCUCCGCAUAUUCUGAAAAAAGAAAAACACACAAACCUUGAUCAGCAUUCCAGCAACAACCCAAGAGUAAAAUCAUCUGCAUGCAUACAUGAUACAUGAGAAGAAUUUCAACGACUUUUGAUUUAUGAAGCGAUCAGUGGUGAUGAUGAUUGUGAUGACGGCUAUAACGACGUUGCUGGUGGUGCUUCCGUUGUUUCUGCCGCCGCUUCCGCCGCCGCCGUUUGUGCUCCUCUUUCUCCCUGUGUUGCUUUUGGUUCUUCUUCUUCAUUUGGCUUUCACUCCUUUCAAUAAUAUUCUUCCCCCUGAUCGAUGCUCAUCCUUUCUUUAGUUGAUUUUUGAGUUUCAUGUAUGUAUUUUCUUAGGUGAAGUUUCUCAUGUAUAUAUAGGUGUUCCUUUAAAUUCUCAAGGUAAUCCUACUAGAAGAAUUAUCUUUAAUGUUAAUAACAGGUUUUCUAAAUGGGAGUUUUGCUAGGCACUGUCUUUAUAUUAUAAUCAAUAUAUAUAGAUGUUCCUUUAAAUUGACAA